CCUCCUCCUCCUCCUCCUCCUCCUCCAUAUUACAACACAGCUGUUUGAUUGUUUGUCCAGCGUUGUUUGUCUUUACGUUUCAUCUCCUUUUUUGAGGAUCAGAACAGUAUUAAGCUGUAAAUCUUUUACCAUGAAAAUAUAAUAUUUUGUUAAUUAGCUUUGUAUUGAAGUCUUUACUACUUAUGUGUGACCUGUUAAGUUAAAAGGGACACAUUGAUGUAGGAAUGAUAUGACAGCAUGCUGCUCUCUAGAACCCAACCAAGUUAAAAGGGUUUUGGGGGACACAUUGAUGUAGGAAUGAUAUGACAGCAUGCUGCUCUCUAGAACCCAACCAAGUUAAAAGGGUUUUAGGGACACAUUGAUGUAGGAAUGAUAUGACAGCAUGCUGCUCUCUAGAACCCAACCAAGUUAAAGGGUUUUAGGGACACAUUGAUGUAGGAAUGAUAUGACAGCAUGCUGCUCUCUAGAACCCAACCAAGUUAAAAGGGUUUUAGGGACACAUUGAUGUAGGAAUGAUAUGACAGCAUGCUGCUCUCUAGAACCCAACCAAGUUAAAGGGUUUGGGGGACACAUUGAUGUAGGAAUGAUAUGACAGCAUGCUGCUCUCUAGAACCCAACCAAGUUAAAGGGGUUUUAGGGACACAUUGAUGUAGGAAUGAUAUGACAGCAUGCUGCUCUCUAGAACCCAACCAAGUUAAAGGGUUUUAGGGACACAUUGAUGUAGGAAUGAUAUGACAGCAUGCUGCUCUCUAGAACCCAACCAAGUUAAAAGGGUUUUAGGGACACAUUGAUGUAGGAAUGAUAUGACAGCAUGCUGCUCUCUAGAACCCAACCAAGUUAAAAGGGGUUUGGGGGACACAUUGAUGUAGGAAUGAUAUGACAGCAUGCUGCUCUCUAGAACCCAACCAAGUUAAAGGGUUUUAGGGACACAUUGAUGUAGGAAUGAUAUGACAGCAUGCUGCUCUCUAGAACCCAACCAAGUUAAAAGGGUUUUAGGGACACAUUGAUGUAGGAAUGAUAUGACAGCAUGCUGCUCUCUAGAACCCAACCAAGUUAAAAGGGUUUGGGGGACACAUUGAUGUAGGAAUGAUAUGACAGCAUGCUGCUCUCUAGAACCCAACCAAGUUAAAGGGUUUUAGGGACACAUUGAUGUAGGAAUGAUAUGACAGCAUGCUGCUCUCUAGAACCCAACCAAGUUAAAGGGGUUUGGGGGACACAUUGAUGUAGGAAUGAUAUGACAGCAUGCUGCUCUCUAGAACCCAACCAAGUUAAAGGGUUUUAGGGACACAUUGAUGUAGGAAUGAUAUGACAGCAUGCUGCUCUCUAGAACCCAACGUACUGUUGGGUUUUAAUAUGUGUCUGACUGCUGUUGGAA